rnacentral:rRNA from 1 species
CACGUAGGGGGCGAGCGUUGUCCGGAUUCAUUGGGCGUAAAGCGCGCGCAGGCGGCUCGGCAAGUCGGGUGUGAAAACUCGGGGCUCAACCCCGGGCGUGCAUCCGAUACUGCCGGGCUUGAGGCAGGUAGGGGAGAUCGGAAUUCCUGGUGUAGCGGUGAAAUGCGCAGAUAUCAGGAAGAACACCCGUGGCGAAGGCGGUUCUCUGGGACGGUACUGACGCUGAGACGCGAAAGCGUGGGGAGCGAACAGG